rnacentral:rRNA from 1 species
CACGUAGGGCGCAAGCGUUGUCCGGAAUUAUUGGGCGUAAAGAGCUCGUAGGCGGUCUGUUGCGUCCGCUGUGAAAACCCGGGGCUUAACCCCUGGCUUGCAGUGGAUACGGACAGACUAGAGGUAGGUAGGGGAGAAUGGAAUUCCCGGUGUAGCGGUGAAACGCGCAGAUAUCGGGAGGAACACCGGUGGCGAAGGCGGUUCUCUGGGCCUUACCUGACGCUGAGGAGCGAAAGCGUGGGGAGCGAACAGG